GAUGAAGAACGUAGCGAAAUGCGAUAAUUAAUGUGAAUUGCAGAAUUCCGUGAAUCAUCGAGUCUUUGAACGCACAUUGCGCCCCCUGGUAUUCCGGGGGGCAUGCCUGUCAGAGCGUCAUUGCUGCCCUCAAGCACGGCUUGUGUGUUGGGCCCCGUCCUCCGAUCCCGGGGGACGGGCCCGAAAGGCAGCGGCGGCACCGCGUCCGGUCCUCGAGCGUAUGGGGCUUUGUCACCCGCUCUGUAGGCCCGGCCGGCGCUUGCCGAUCAACCCAAAUUUUUAUCCAGGUUGACCUCGGAUCAGGUAGGGAUACCCGCUGAACUUAAGCAUAUCAAUAAGCGGAGGA
rnacentral:misc_RNA from 1 species